AACUUUCAACAACGGAUCACUUGGCUCUCGCAUCGAUGAAGAACGCAGCGAAAUGCGCUAAGUAAUGUGAAUUGCAGAAUUCAGUGAAUCAUCGACUCUUUGAACGCACCUUGCGCUCCUUGGUAUUCCGAGGAGCAUGCCUGUUUGCGUGUCUUGAAGUCAUCAACCUCUCCCGUUUCGUGCGGGCUGCCGGUUGGACGUGGGGGCAUGCUGCCGUGAGGCGGCUCCCCUCAAAUGCUUCGGUUGGACCUGUGGGUCGAACUCGACUGUGCGUUGUACCAUCCUCGCUCCUCCGAGACGUUCUCCACUUAUCGAGUCCUCCCUAGACCUGCCCGUGGGGUGGCGGUCAACAAAGCUCGACUUUGAAAUCUGACCUCAAAUCAGGUAGGACUACCCGCUGAACUUAAGCAUAUCAAUAAGCGGAGGCU
rnacentral:misc_RNA from 1 species